rnacentral:rRNA from 1 species
UAGGGAAUCUUCCACAAUGGACGCAAGUCUGAUGGAGCAACGCCGCGUGAGUGAAGAAGGUCUUCGGAUCGUAAAGCUCUGUUGUUGGCGAAGAAGGAUAGAGGCAGUAACUGGUCUUUAUUUGACGGUAAUCAACCAGAAAGUCACGGCUAACUACGUGCCAGCAGCCGCGGUAAUACGUAGGUGGCAAGCGUUGUCCGGAUUUAUUGGGCGUAAAGCGAGCGCAGGCGGAAUGAUAAGUCUGAUGUGAAAGCCCACGGCUCAACCGUGGAACUGCAUCGGAAACUGUCAUUCUUGAGUGCAGAAGAGGAGAGUGGAACUCCAUGU